UGACCUCAAAUCAGGCAAGAAUACCCGCUGA
rnacentral:rRNA from 1 species